GACGAACGCUGGCGGCGUGCUUAACACAUGCAAGUCGAACGAGUGGCGAACGGGUGAGUAACACGUGAGUAAACUGCCCCUUCUUCGGGAUAACUGCUUGAAAGGGUAGCUAAUACGGGAUAGUGGGGGAUGGGCUCGCGGCCUAUCAGCUUGUUGGUGGGGUGAUGGCCUACCAAGGCGGUGACGGGUAGCCGGCCUGAGCGGGUGGACGGGCACGCUGGGAGUGAGAGCCGGCCCAGGCUCUGACGGGAGGCAGCAGUGGGGAUUAUUGCGCAAUGGGCGCGAGCCUGAUGCAGCGACGCCGCGUGAGUGAUGGGGGCCUUCGGGUUGUAAACCUCUUUCGCCAGUGAAGCGGUAGCUGGAUAAGAAGCGCCGGCUAACUACGUGCCAGCAGCCGCGGUAAUUC
rnacentral:rRNA from 1 species